rnacentral:rRNA from 1 species
AACGAACGCUGGCGGCAUGCCUAACACAUGCAAGUCGAACGAGACCUUCGGGUCUAGUGGCGAACGGGUGCGUAACGCGUGGGAACCUGCCCUUAGGUUCGGAAUAACUCCCCGAAAGGGGUGCUAAUACCGGAUAAUGUCUCCGGACCAAAGAUUUAUCGCCUUUGGAGGGGCCCGCGUUGGAUUAGCUAGUUGGUAGGGUAAAAGCCUACCACGGCGACGAUCCAUAGCUGGUCUGUGAGGAUGAUCAGCCACACUGGGACUGGGACACGGCCCAGACUCCUACCGGAGGCAGCAGUGGUGGAUAUUGGACAAUGGGCGAAAGCCUGAUCCACCACUUCCGCGUGAGUGAUGAAGGCCUUAUGGUUGUAAAGCUCUUUUACCCGGGAUGAUAAUGACAGUACCGGGAGAAUAAGCUCCGGCUAACUCCGUG